rnacentral:rRNA from 1 species
UACAGAGGGGGCAAGCGUUGUUCGGAAUUACUGGGCGUAAAGGGCGCGUAGGCGGCCUGCUAAGUCGAACGUGAAAUCCCUGGGCUCAACCCAGGAACUGCGUCCGAUACUGGUUGGCUUGAAUCCGGGAGAGGGAUGCAGAAUUCCAGGUGUAGCGGUGAAAUGCGUAGAUAUCUGGAGGAAUACCGGUGGCGAAGGCGGCAUCCUGGACCGACAUUGACGCUGAUGAGCGAAAGCCAGGGGAGCAAACGGG